UGUUGGAGGUUGAUUUUUUGGGAGGUGGCGGGCUCGUCCCGCGGGCGCACGGCUCCGAGUGCAGGAAUUCCUGCCAGCUCGCCUUUGUGCCAGCCUCUGUUGGCCUUGGGUGUCUCGUUCGGAUGGAGCCUGGCAUCCAGGCACCGCCCAUUUCUUGGCGUUGAGCUGCGAGGAGAAGGAAAGGGGAGAGAGCGAGCGAGAGAAGGGAAAAAAAAAAAGCUGUCUCACUCAAACUGGCCUUUCUCGGAAAAGGAUCCUUCCCCGAUGAUUGUCCGGAUAAGCGGAGCUAAAUCCAGCCACCACUCAACAACAAAACCACUCUCUUCCACGGAGCCACAGAGCAGCCAAUGCCCCGGAGACAGUCAGGUCUUCAGUUCUCGUCAUCUACUUCUACUCCAAGCAUGGAAGCAGGUGGUGCAAGUAAUGCAAAGCCAGUGAUACGGCCGUGAAUCAGGCGAGACCUCUGUACUGCUCUGUGGAGGUGAGGUAGUAGGUUGUAUAGUUUGGUGGGAGGGAUUUUAUCCCAUUUCAGGUGAUAACUAUACAGUCUAUUGCCUUCCUUAAAGAGCAGCAAAACCACCGGAGGACUGUCUCAGCCACAGAGCUCCUGAGGCAGCACUUCUUUCUGUUGAGGAUCCCAAAACACAGCACAGCGUUGUUGAACAACUCAUUGGGUCUUCCCUUAUAGCAUCCAGGAUCACAUUCUUCUAGGGACUGCUCCGUGCCUCCGUGUGAGCACGGAGCCACCUAUUUACAGAAAAUCUCUCUCUGUUUAAUGUGUGCAAGAAAAACAAUGAAAUGUGUUGGUGCAUCAGGUCCUGGUGUUCAGUUCUAUUAUAUUUUUUUUUUUUGCAGGAGAUGGGCUCAAGUUGUAAAGGGCUUAAGUGUGCUGUUCUUUUCUGGUCUGUCCUUGAGUCUAGAGCGGAGUGGAUGCUUUGGUACAAAGAGGAUAGAUCCAAAUUUGUGAUUUAAGUUUGUUGCACCCAGUUCUGAAGUUUGGGUUAAGAACUAGAUCCAAGAGGAAGCUUAGCCUGUGGACUCAAAGCCCUGGGAGCUGAUCAGCUUUGGCUGGUUGGCCCCUGCUCAGGAAGUACAUUCCGUUUUGGACAAGUUCCCAGCUCUCCCAUGCUAUAGAGUUAGAGUGUGUUUUCUUCUGAUUUGAUAAUCCAUAUCAAUUUAAGUCAUUUAUAUGCAAACCCUAGCAAGGAGAUUAGGGCUUCUGUGUAUUUACAUAGAAUAAGCCAAUGAUUCAGACUAACUCUCUGUCCUAGAGCAGAGACAGGUAAGGAGGAGAUGUGAGCCAAAGGGAGCAAGUCCUAAUCCUCCUGGGCUCUCCCAGGCAGGUAGCACUGUCAUCUGACAGCAGACAUAUGAGAAGACAGCAUGCUUCAGAGCUCUGGCACUUGACAAGGGACAGGGAAUCAUUCUCUCUUCUUCUUAGGAGCAGAUGGGACUAUCCCUCUGCCAUAUUCCGAAGUAAGUAGGAUCAAGUCCAUGAGUGGAGCUGGAGCUGUAACACGAUCAGGGCUGCAUCAGUUCUUCAGGGCUGAAGGGCAUCUCAGGCCAUUAUCACUGCCAUCUCACUGUCAGGGAGACGCGUGAGAUCUGAGACAUCGGGGAGCGAGGGCAAGCAGAGGACACCUUCUCAGAUGAAGUGGAGGAAGAGAGCUGCAAAAAGGAAUUGGAGCCCUCAAAUUUCACCCUGAGCACAGGGAGACCCAGACCUGACUGCUUGGCCCAUGGGACUCCCCAAAAAUGAAGCAGCUUGUUUAAGGCUCCUCUGCUUCUUGGGAUGGGGCGUAGCUGCAGCGGGGCUGGGACGCGACUUCCUCAGGCUGGGCAACAGCUGGUGGGUGGGGAUGCCGCAGUGUCUAGCAGCGAAGGAAUGCAGACCUCUCCAUAAAUCUGGCUCUUCAGCAGUCCUGGCGACUUGCUGUGCAAAACUACAGCUUGGUCCUCUUGGAUGCCUUAUUAUCCACUAGCUGCUUGCUGAGGGGCAGGGCUCCUACCCGCAAAUUGCUUGGAAGGUACCAAAAUAGCACCACAAGCAUGGGAACAGAGCAGCAUAUCCACUUCGUAUUUAGGAGGUAUCCCCUAGAAAAGAACUCAUCCUGUGUGUCCCAAAUGAAAUCAGUUCAGUCCCCCUCCAUUAAUUUGAUAUUAAUGCAGAGAAUCUCAAGCAGUGAAACUGUAUGAACUGGAAGCCAUGAAUAAAAUAUUACUGGAAGUAUUCUCUUGUGAAAAUAAACUUGUUUUGACUUUUUAAAAA